GAAAGGUUCAGUAGACUUUUUGCUUUAAAUGAAUGGUUGUUGUCAUGGUGUAAAGAACAGAAACUGCCAUUUGUUAAUAACUGGAAUCUUUUCUGGGAGCGUCCUAGGCUGUUUCGCACUGAUGGAUUACACCCCAGCAGAAUCGGAGCGGAGCUGCUCUCUGACAACAUCUCCAGGACACUUCGCUCCUUGUGACUAGAUUUACACAAGCUCCAGUCUGGAUCCAGAACACCUGAGAAGAGAUGAUGCUGACCCUCAGAGGACCCCAGAUGAUGCUAACCUUGAAUCAACAAACAGAACUAACAAUUAUUGCUACAUGUGUGACUGCAUCAUAUAAUAACUAUUAAUUAAUAAUAUUGAUAGUUCAUCGUCUAGCUGACUACGUCUUGUAUUAUUAUUAUUAUU